rnacentral:rRNA from 1 species
GAGUAACGCGUAUGCAACUUACCUAUCAGAGGGGGAUAACCCGGCGAAAGUCGGACUAAUACCGCAUGAAGCAGGGGCCCCGCAUGGGGAUAUUUGCUAAAGAUUCAUCGCUGAUAGAUAGGCAUGCGUUCCAUUAGGCAGUUGGCGGGGUAACGGCCCACCAAACCGACGAUGGAUAGGGGUUCUGAGAGGAAGGUCCCCCACAUUGGUACUGAGACACGGACCAAACUCCUACGGGAGGCAGCAGUGAGGAAUAUUGGUCAAUGGGCGUAAGCCUGAACCAGCCAAGUCGCGUGAGGGAUGAAGGUUCUAUGGAUCGUAAACCUCUUUUAUAAGGGAAUAAAGUGCGGGACGUGUCCUGUUUUGUAUGUACCUUAUGAAUAAGGAUCGGCUAACUCCGUGCCAGCAGCCGCGGUAAUACGGAGGAUCCGAGCGUUAUCCGGAUUUAUUGGGUUUAAAGGGUGCGUAGGCGGCCUUUUAAGUCAGCGGUGAAAGUCUGUGGCUCAACCAUAGAAUUGCCGUUGAAACUGGGGGGCUUGAGUAUGUUUGAGGCAGGCGGAAUGCGUGGUGUAGCGGUGAAAUGCUUAGAUAUCACGCAGAACCCCGAUUGCGAAGGCAGCCUGCCAAGCCAUGACUGACGCUGAUGCACGAAAGCGUGGGGAUCAAACAGGAUUAGAUACCCUGGUAGUCCACGCAGUAAACGAUGAUCACUAGCUGUUUGCGAUACACUGUAAGCGGCACAGCGAAAGCGUUAAGUGAUCCGCCUGGGGAGUACGCCGGCAACGGUGAAAC